ACAUAAAAUGGAAGGGAGGAGUAAUGAAACACCCAGUACAGCAGGAUGGCAAUAGCUGUGGGGUAGUUGUCUGCAUGAUGGCAAAGGAGGUCAUGGAAGUGUUUCCUAAAACACCAACAAUGGCCUUUGGGACCACAAAAAAGGAGAUGGCGCAUCAAAGAAAAGUGUUGGCCAUGGAAAUACUGACAGCAUCAGUGUUUGACAAAGAAGUCAACUGUGCCAUGUGCGCCGGCAUAACACCACCCGGCUCAAUGCCACAUCACACCCACACUGACUGGAU